UGGGGAAUAUUGGACAAUGGGCGCAAGCCUGGUCCAGCCAUGCCGCGUGAGUGAUGAAGGCCCUAGGGUUGUAAAGCUCUUUCACCGGUGAAGAUAAUGACGGUAACCGGAGAAGAAGCCCCGGCUAACUUCGUGCCAGCAGCCGCGGUAAUACGAAGGGGGCUAGCGUUGUUCGGAUUUACUGGGCGUAAAGCGCACGUAGGCGGACUAUUAAGUCAGGGGUGAAAUCCCGGGGCUCAACCCCGGAACUGCCUUUGAUACUGGUAGUCUUGAGUUCGAGAGAGGUGAGUGGAAUUCCGAGUGUAGAGGUGAAAUUCGUAGAUAUUCGGAGGAACACCAGUGGCGAAGGCGGCUCACUGGCUCGAUACUGACGCUGAGGUGCGAAAGCGUGGGGAGCAAACAGG
rnacentral:rRNA from 1 species